UAUUUUUGCUAUAAAUCCAGCAAUAUUAUAGUUGGACUCGAUGAUUCUUUGGGUCCCUUCUCGCUUGUAUAUCCUAUGACAAUUCUAUUGUAUCUUUCUACCAAGCUCAGGCUGGGAGUGGAGCUGGAAACAGUGCAAGGAGCAUGUUGGAGUUGCUGUGGUCUCAGAAACUGAGGUGGAAGGUGAAGGGACUGAUAACUGCAGUGCAUGGGACUUCCCUGGGGAGCCUCUCUGGAUGCCUGGUCCUGUACAAUAUUGCCUGUGUUCGAGACCUUGGCACCACAUGGUGACAUCUUGAAGUAUUUCUUCUGUAAGUCUCUGCCUUCUGACAGGAGUGUUUCUCAGUUUGGCUGCUGAACAGACGUAUCCAGUAUUCACAUGGUGUUAAUCACUUUUACUGAGAUAUCAGGACCAAAAGAUGAACAGUGGAGAAAGAACUUUGUAUAAAAACAACAACAACAAAAACCACAACACAUUGGGAUAGUAGUCAUACCACAUACUGUGCUCCAGUGAAAGGUCAGGAUUUGUGUCAUCAACCAUUAUAUUUUCACAGUAUUGAUGUCUUUAUUUGAGCUCUAGUAAGUGGAGACGUUUAAUAGCUAGGGAAGAGGCAGUGAGAGCAGGGACAUGGGGCCUGGGAAG
rnacentral:lncRNA from 1 species